GACGAACGCUGGCGGCGUGCCUAAUACAUGCAAGUCGAACGCUGAAGAGAGGAGCUUGCUCUUCUUGGAUGAGUUGCGAACGGGUGAGUAACGCGUAGGUAACCUGCCUUGUAGCGGGGGAUAACUAUUGGAAACGAUAGCUAAUACCGCAUAACAAUGGAUGACACAUGUCAUUUAUUUGAAAGGGGCAAUUGCUCCACUACAAGAUGGACCUGCGUUGUAUUAGCUAGUAGGUGAGGUAAUGGCUCACCUAGGCGACGAUACAUAGCCGACCUGAGAGGGUGAUCGGCCACACUGGGACUGGGACACGGCCCAGACUCCUACGGGAGGGAGCAGUAGGGAAUCUUCGGCAAUGGGGGCAACCCUGACCGAGCAACGCCGCGUGAGUGAAGAAGGGUUUCGGAUCGUAAAGCUCUGUUGUAAGUCAAGAACGGGUGUGAGAGUGGAAAGUUCACACUGUGACGGUAGCUUACCAGAAAGGGACGGCUAACUACGUG
rnacentral:rRNA from 1 species